AGCCAUUAGCCAAACAAGUAUUAAAGGUAAUGCCUGCCCAGUGAGGACCCCACCCUUAAACGGCCGCGAUAAUCCGUGCGAAGGUAGCGCAAUCACUUGUCUCCCAAAUAGAGACCCGUAUGAAUGGCCACAUGAGAAAGAAGCUGUCUCUUGAAAAUAGCCAAUGAACCUGAUCUACCUGUACAAAAGCAGGAAUAACAUAACAAGACAAAAAGACCCUGUGAAACUUUAAAUUAAACAUCAACCAAGUGAUGCUAACUUUUAGUUGGGGCAACUACAGAGAAAAUAAACCUCUGCAAAGAUUACCAAACCAACUGGUUAGGUAAAUAACACAACCCGAUCCAGUAAUACUGAUAAAUGAACCAAGCUACUCCAGGGAUAACAGCGCCACAUUCUUGAAGAGUCCAUAUCAACAAGAAUACCUACGACCUCGAUGUUGGAUCAGGGUACCCUAACGGUGCAGAAGCUGUUAAAGGUUCGUUUGUUCAACGAUUAAUAUCCU
rnacentral:rRNA from 1 species